rnacentral:lncRNA from 1 species
CAAAUUGUCAGAACGUCAAGCAGAAAUGUAAACAUUAUACUACACAACUCAAGUCAGUAUAUACUGUAUUGUAUAUAGAAGAAGGUGGAGUAAGUUUGAAUUUAUCAUACGAUAAAGUAAAGAAUGAUGGAUAUGAAAUCAUGGUUUAAUAGUCUUAUCACGCUGAUGUUUCUGAUAGGAAGUGAUGGAAAAGAUUCUUGUUCCAAAGAUGAAAAAAUGUGUUCUUCUGCAUCUUUCUCUCACUUGAAGGAAAAGAGGUGAAGAUCAACGUAGUUAAAUUAUUUUUUUCACUGAUCGUAAAAUUUGUUUAUAUCAGUGAAAGGCCUGUUGAUAUGUUUUGCACUUUUAUAUAUAUAAGGACCUUUUUUUUUUUUUAUAAGAAACAGUCAAAGAAAGGAUGGGCCCCUUAUCAUUCAAGAAGAAUACAAAGGGCCCUAUAUAAGGACAUUGAUAAUUCAUUAGAUAGGAAAAUAAUGAGUGCUCUAUAUAUUGAAAUUAAAGAUGCUGAAAUUCGAACUGAUGAGUUGAAACUAAGGAAAAGCUUGGGAAAGUCCAAGCCACCCGAGCCUUUUUAAUAAAUAUUUAUUAAUUCGGUACUCUUGAAAAUACACUAAUUACCGGACAACUUAAUUACAGCUAUAAUCAUAAAUUUGUGUUUUAUUUUUAUUUCAAGAUAUUUGCAUCACUUGACCAAAUUGCACCAAAUAUAA